UCUUCAUAGAGAUGCACAUUGAUCGAGAAGGAGGAUGACUGAAUGAGAGGCCUCAGAUCGGAUCCUCUUCGAUCCAGGCCUCUGCAACGUCAACGACGCAUACACCCGGAUGCUCGACAAGACCAAGCACCAGGACGACGUCGAUGACGACAUCCCCGCCGUGCUAGAUGGCGGCCGCAGCGUAGAUCCCUUGGUCGGAUUUGAGAGGAUGUAACCGCCCGGCGGCAAGAUGCGGAGCCGCGAACAUGCGCGGAUGCACUGGAGACAAGCUGUGCGGAGCCGUAGCCGUUUCCGUUGGUUGCCGUGCUGUAAGCGGUUGUCCGCCGUCGCUUCCAUAGCCCGCCAGGAGCCGUCGUCGCGCACAGAGGGCCAAGGCAAGCACAGACGUUGGCGAUGGUGGGCUUGUGGCGCGGGUGCACAUGUUGCCGGAGCCGAGGCGAACACGGCUGCGGGUGUUGCACGGCGAGCUAGGGCGCGCCGAUGUGGAUGCAUCUGUGCUGCUGCGUGCGCCUCAAUGACGAGAGCCAAAGCUGAAGACGGUGUCGUCUUGCUUCUGAAGUGGAAAUGGAAUAGAUGAAUUCUUCUCACGCUCGGAUGGAGGUGACUUGCUGAGCGGCGUGGAAGUCGACUUCUCCAGCAAUCAGGCCAUGAUCGGCAAUCUUCGGGAGGAAUUCCAUGCGUCGUCCCUUCCACAUGCUGGUUACCUUCCUCCUAUUCAAUCGCUCCAGCACAUGGGUGUGCGUGGUGGCCGGAAUUGGGGUUCGCCGGAAUGUCUUUGUCUCUCGUUCGCUCUCGGUAGAGCGUGUUGAUAACAUGUAUGAAGUUGAUAACGAGGGAGACUCAAUCACCUCAUAGUUGACAAUGUUUAUGAUCACCCCCUUGCGCCCAGUGCCGUCUCGUUCGCUUCGUCGUUAAUUUUGGAGAGAUGUGCGUUGUUUAUCACGACGCUCCCGCCGACGAGGCUGAUGCAAGGGCGUCCUCCCCUGCUUCGACGAGGAGGAUGCCCUUCCAUGUGAGAUCCAGCAAAGAAGCACUCCACCGAUAUCCGUUCCUACGAGAUGCACGAGGAAGUGCUGGCCUCCUACCUCCGGCGGGGAAGCUACUGCCUUCCACGGCAAAAAAGUGGUUGACCACAACGUUCUUGAAGCCUCGUGCGAUGGAGUCUGCACAAGAUAAUAUUCAUCCUUGCUUUUUAACACCUAGCCUACUGUUAAAAAGGCUCUGCAUCUAAUUGCUUACUAUACAGAGUUUGUUUAUGUCUAGAGUUCAUCUAGGGAUUAGUAAGAAAAUAAGCUGUUUUUUGUCAAAUGGUUAUGCAGGUUCGAGCAACCUCAAAGUAGGCUGGGGAGGAUAACCAGUGAUUAUACUGAUGCUGGAGAGUCAUGUUGAAGUUGAGUUUGUAUGGUUAUAGAUUUUAAUCCCUGUGCGGGUGGUGUUCUUGAAGUUUCAUUUGGUGUUGCUGUCAGCCGGCUUAUACUUUCAUGAUCUUCUACAUCAAGUAUAGUGGUUAAUUGUUUUGGUCAACUCCGCAUUUUAUUUCUUUAGAAUUACCUCGCCGCAUUUUGUGGACAACAAAAGUAACAGUAUGGUAAUUGGUAAAAGUUUUUGGUCCCAUAAUAUCAGAGUAUGUGUGUGUGUGAGUGUGUGUGUGUGUGUGUGUGUGUGUGUGUGAGAGAGAGAGAGAGAGAGAGAGAGAGAGAGAGAGAAUUUAGAUAUCAUUUGGUGGUAGCAAGUUCAAGUAAUAG